AGGAAAAGAAACUAACCAGGAUUCCCUCAGUAACGGCGAGUGAAGAGGGAUGAGCCCAGCACCGAAGCCUGUGGACAUUUGGCCACUAGGCAAUGUGGUGUUUAGGUUGAUUCGUGGCAUUACUGCUCCACCCUAAGUCCAGCACUGAGUAUGGUUUCUGGAAUUGGCCCACAGAGGGUGAAAGGCCCGUUGGGGUGGAGAUCGGUUUACAGUUUUGCCCUGAGUUGACCUUGGAGUCGGGUUGUUUGUGAAUGCAGCCCAAAGCGGGUGGUAAACUCCAUCCAAGGCUAAAUACUGGCACGAGUCCGAUAGCGAACAAGUACCGUGAGGGAAAGUUGAAAAGUACUUUGAAGAGAGAGUAAACAGUGCGUGAAACCGCUCAGAGGUAAACAGGUGGAGUUGAACUGGAAGCUACGGGAAUUCAGCUAGUGAGAUUGGCAUGUGCUUGGGCAUAUAGGUCGGCCUUCAGAGUCCGCUUAGCUGCGGGUUCCUGCCUCCGGGUGGGAAUGUGCGUUGCGCUUAUCAAGUGCUGUGCGCUCUGGGGUUUGACGGGCUGGCUUGCUAGUGCACUUUUCCGUGGUGAUCACCACGACCGGCGCUGUUGCUUUUCUGCUGUGGUCAAACCGGUUAGGUCUGGUCCAUGUGGCUGAACUUGAUCGGGAUGGCAGGUAGCUCGUUUGCUGGUUUUACCAGUUUGUGGGUGUAAUGAGCUGGCCGCAGUGGUUCUAUGCAAUGUGUCGGAGAUGACGGCUUUAUGCAUGUGCAGGCGUGUUGCUUGUUGGCGGGGCCGGGUUUGAUCGGCAUGUCUACCUGCGAAUGUGGGUCUGUCGAUGGCUCGGUCUUGUUCGAUUUGUAAUGCGUCUGCGGUGCUGUGAAUGGGCCUAUAGUCUGUGGUGUUGUGGUAAACUAUCCACCUGACCCGUCUUGAAACACGGACCAAGGAGUUUAACAUGUGCGCGAGUCAUUGGGUGCUACGAAACCCAAAGGCGCAGUGAAAGUAAAGGUUCGGCUUGUCCGAGCUGAGGUGAGAUCCGGUCGUUCCUCGUGCAAGGUACUACCAAGCAUUCGGACGGCAGGCGCAUCACCGGCCCGUCUCACGGCGUAGUCAUGUGACCUUGUGUUGCGUGCACCACCGGGGCGGAGCAAGAGCGCACACGUUGAGACCCGAAAGAUGGUGAACUAUGCUUGCGGAGGUUGAAGCCAGAGGAAACUCUGGUGGAGGACCGCAGCGAU
rnacentral:rRNA from 1 species